rnacentral:lncRNA from 1 species
CGGCCGUGUGGGUGAGUUGGCUGCCGGUGAGUUGGGUGCCGGUGGAGUCGUGUUGGUCCUCAGAAUCCCCGCGUAGCCGCUGUCUCCACCUACCCUCGCCAUGUUUCUCACCCGGUCUGAGUACGACAGGGGCGUGAAUACUUUUUCUCCCGAAGGAAGAUUAUUUCAAGUGGAAUAUGCCAUUGAGGCUAUCAAGGUAUAGUAGCAAGUAGCAUAGUUCCUGAAAUUUCAUGGCUACCUAACAUUUUGCUGGCAGAACACUUGGAGUAAAUGUGGUUUAACCAUUCCUUUAGAAAAUGUUCUUAUAUCCC